UACUGCAAUCUCUGUCUGCGCCUGACCAGAUAAGUGCAUGCACCUGGUCAACAAAUUCAGUUCCAUAUUGUACCAUGUUUAACAGCAGCUGUGUUGCAUGUGUCAGUCUUCUCCUACAUUUUAUUUGCAGUGUCCAUGAGGCUAUUGCACGUCCAUGGGAGGAUUCUGCUAAUGAUCUUUAUAGCAGUCCCACGCCAAUGGAGUGGUCAGAAGCAUCCUAUCCUAUCCUAGAAGUAGAAGCUGCCUAUACCUUUUACCAGUGUUUAUUCUCUAUUUCAUGUCAUUGCCCUUGUUUCGAAUCUGACAUGCAGUUAAUAUGGGACUUGGACGAAGCAUUGAGUGGGUCUGAUGUGGAUUCUCCAACAUACCCAGAUGAGUUGAACACGGAGAAUAGAGGUGCUGAGUCAGCUACCAUGCAGGCAACACUUUCUGUGCAGCUUACAGUGUGGGCUAUCCAAGUUGGAAUUCCAUUGCAACACCUGUCAAGCUUGUUAAAAAUUCUUCACAACUACCACCCUGAUCUGCCACUUGACGGACGAACCCUGCUGUCAACACCAAAAUCUGUACGCUUGGAGCAGAUGUGCGGUGGGGAGUUCGUCUACUUCGGAAUUUUGCGUGGAAUCCAAAAGCUAUUAGAAGCCAGGCUUGUCAGAUCAAACUUGCUUAGCCGCCAGGUAAACAUUGAUGGUCUGCCGUUAAAUCGAAGCAGGAACGUAAGCCUUUGGCCCAUACUUAUCGCUGUAAGGGAAUGUCUUCCUCUGAGGCCCUUCCCAGCCGCAGUCUAUUGUGGACUUGCAAAGCCUGAGUGUGUUGGCACAUUCUUUGCCAGAUUUGUUUUGGAAAUGAAGACCCUUACCAGUGAGGGUUUCACGUACCGUGGGAAGUCGUAUACGGUAGCUUUUCACUGACUUGUGUGCGACACACCUGCACGCGCUUUUGUGAAAUGCAUCAAGGGUCACACAGGCUACAGCGCCUGUGAAAGAUGUGCAGUUAAAGGGGAAUAUUAUCCAGAAGGCAAGAAGGUUAUUUACAGAGAUCAAACUGCUAUUAAACGAACCAGACACAGCUUUAAUCUUCAAACAAAUUCUGCACACCAUAAUGGAAAAUCGCCACUUUUCAACCUGGGAAUUGACUUGGUUUCUCAGGUACCACUAGAUAGCAUGCAUGUAGUGUACUUUGGUGUUGUUAAGAAAAUCGUUACUAGCUUUUGGCUUGCAACAAGUGUAACGAAAACAAAGUUAUCCCACAGCGCGAGGCGCAUGAUCUCUGAAAGGCUUCUAAACAUGAAAACACAUAUUCCUCGUGAAUUUAACAGAAAGCCGAGGGCACUAGUGGAGUGCGCAUGUGGAAGGCCACGGAAUGGAGGCAGUUUCUUUUGUAUGCAGGCCCUGUAGUACUUAAAAAAAUAGUUGAAGAAAACAUAUAUGAACAUUUUCUGACCUUGAACAUUGCAGUUUCAUUGCUGAAUAGGCCAUAUGCAACCACCGAAAUGCUAGACCUUGCUGAAUCAUUGUUAUAUCGCUUUGUUUCCCAUGGUACAGUCUAUGGCAAAGGAAUCUAUGUUCUCAACUUCCACUCUCUAAUACAUAUAACGGAUGAUGUACGCUAAUUUGGCAUGCUUGAUAGUUUCUCCUGCUUCCCGUUUGAAAAUUGCUUACAAAAGCUGAAGCAGCUACUUCGGUCCCCUCACAAGCCGCUGUCCCAGCUGUUGUUCCCAACAGAUUGUUCGAAGCACAUGCACUCUUAAUGAACAAGCCUAACUUGCCACCUUUCAGUUUAAAGUACAGACAUCACAGUGGACCUGUACAAAGUGGGGAAUCUGAUGCGGAACAAUACAAGAGAAUUCAAUUUCAGGGAUUCUGUCUGAUUGCUGGUUCCAACUCCGAUUCUACAGUACAGCUCACUAAUGGAAGUAUUGCGGUUGUCAAAAACAUAGUGAGGUCAAGAGGAAAAGUUUCAGUCAUAGUUCAAUCAUUCCGUCGUCUCGAAAAUUUUUACACUGUUCCGGUGCCGUCAUCGAGGAUAGGUGUAUACCUUGUUAGUGAGUUGCAGUCUAGCUAUUUGUGCUGGUGUAUUGAAGAAUUGAACUGUAAAAUGGUUCGCUUUCCUGUCGGAAGUAAUUUCUUAGCAAUCCCUCUUUUGCACAAUAAUGAUGGUACUUCUUAUAACAGUACGGAUUUUUAACUAAACAUAUUUUACUAAAAGUUCUAAUUAGCAUCGAAAAGAGCAUAUACUGCCAGAUCGGCUACACCUGCAUGAAAGUGUAGUGUGUCUCGCAGCAGGGUUAGGUUUAUAUCGCAGUACUUCAAGUAUAAGAACUCUGGAGUCCAACAUGUUUUGUCGUAUUUGUCGUAUGAGAGAGUCUUUUGAAGUUAAUUAAUAUGUAGAGCUAUAGAGACUCAGUGAUCAGUGAUCAAACGUACUGCGAGCGUGAGUGUGUUGGCAUUGGAUCGAAUUUGUUCGCAACAUACUGUACUUACUGGAUUACGAGUUCAUUGUUAAAAUCGAUGUUUUGAAGGUGGAACAUACAUGAAAAACAAGCACCACAAACUGUCAUGUACCGAAUAUUUCACUGUUGUUGUAUCAUUAGAGGUGGAAGUUGCUGAGAAAAGUACAGGUAUCCAGGAUAAGAGGAAAAUGUACAACAUUAUCUACAAUAGGAAGAUGUAUGAUGUACAUGUGUGUACAUGGCAAUAGGUGCACAAUGCAAUAUGGCACAUGUGCAAUAGGGAGAUGUAUAAUAUUAGAGAAAUGUGUCUUUCACUUCAAGUUAAGCUUUGCACGCCUUCAAAGAUAGAGUCCAUCUGUGUGCUCAGGCUUUCCCAAAGGGUCGCUUGCAAUAUUUAUGAAGGCCGGGUUUCUGCUUUCAGUAAGAUUUUAAACAUACUUAUAUACUCUUGUCUCGUAUGUAACAUUGUAGGUUGUGUAAUUAGCAACUAAUACCUUGCAAGCAAACGCAUGCAAGUUGCUAGGGACACUGUUGGAAAAGGUUAGCGCUCUCGAGAGGGAGGUCAAGUCCGUACGAGCGGAAAAUGGUGCCCUGUUUGUGCAUCUUUCACACAACACGGAACUUCUUCGAAGGUACAUGUCGCAGUCAGCCACCGUCGAAGACGCUGUUAAGACGCCGUGUGACAGAUACGCGGGAGUACUAAUUCAUGGUGCUGCUGCUUCGUCGACAUCCACCACAGCUUCUCCGACAAGCUUGACUCGUUUUGCACCGAUGGUACCGCCGGCGGAAGAAAUGGUUGGUCAGCGUGGUAGUCAACGUCGCAUCGCACGGCAGCUUCCCAACGCGGUGGCUACUAAUGAUCGGAACAAGUUUCCAGAUCAGUCAGGGAGUAUAGAUACUUCGAAGGGGCCAGUGGACGAUGAAGGGUUUCGUAUGAUCCUACCGAGACGGCGCGUCCAGCCAUCGAUCGGCUCAUCCAAAGACAGUAAGUUGCGAGCUGUGGCAAAACCUCCGCGGGAGAAAGCCAUCUUUGUAUCCAGGCUGCAUCCCUCGACCUCUAGUGAAGACCUGUCUGAGGUCGUAUCAAACGCAUUGAACAACGAGCAGUUUACAUGUACCAAGCUGCCCGCGAGGCAUGCGUCAUACGCUUCAUUCCACAUAUCGGUACAGGAGGCUGAUUUUGAUAGGCUUCUUUCCACCAUUGUAUGGCCUGAAUGCUGCCUUUUUAGGCCUUUCCUUGGGCGGCUUCGCUUUGGUGCCAAAAUUAAUGUCGACAAUCUGACGUCUGAUACGACACGUGUUGACGGCGCCCCUUUAGGUUGCUAAAUAUCAAUGCGAGGAGUGUUGUCAACAAGGUGGCAGAGCUGGAGUCAAUAUCACUUGCGUUCGAUCCUGACAUACAGUAGUGACUGAAACUUGGUUGAACGAAAGCAUUCAAGAUAACGACAUCUUUCCUGAUGGAUUCAGCGUUUUCCGCCGUGACCGUGGUUCACGUGGAGGCGGUGUAGCCAUACUUGUUAAGGAGUGCUUUUCUGCAUCAGUUGUUGAACAUGACCACGGGCGCGAGAUGGUUUGGGUUGCUGUAAAGAGUCACACUUGUUCGAUUUUGGUGGGAGGAUUCUACAGGUGCCCUCGAGCAAGUACAGAUGUACUUCAUGAAUUGUCCCACUUUCUCGACACGAAAUCUAAGGAAUUUCCACCUGUGA